CCAGUGGGACGUCGGGUAUCUGCCACGUGGGAACAGCCUGGUGGGGCAGCCGCGGACGUUUGGGGGCAAAUUCAACGGC
rnacentral:SRP_RNA from 1 species